rnacentral:rRNA from 1 species
GAUGAACGCUGACAGAAUGCUUAACACAUGCAAGUCGAUGGGGAAGUGGUGCUUGCACCAUGGUAACCAUGGCGGACGGGUGAGUAACGCGUAAGGAACUUGCCUGCGGGACUGGGAUAACAGCAGGAAACUGCUGAUAAUACCGGAUAAGGUCAUUAAGCUGCAUAGCUUAGUGAUGAAAGGAGACGCCUGCGGAGAGCCUUGCGUCCUAUUAGCUAGUUGGAGGGGUAACGGCCCACCAAGGCGAAGAUAGGUAGCCGGCCUGAGAGGGUGGACGGCCACAAGGGGACUGAGAUACGGCCCUUACUCCUACGGGAGGCAGCAGUGGGGAAUAUUGGACAAUGGGGGCAACCCUGAUCCAGCAAUUCUGUGUGCACGAAGACGGUUUUCGGAUUGUAAAGUGCUUUCAGCAGGGAAGAAGUAAGUGACGGUACCUGCAGAAGAAGCGACGGCUAAAUACGUGCCAGCAGCCGCGGUAAUACGUAUGUCGCGAGCGUUAUCCGGAAUUAUUGGGCAUAAAGGGCAUCUAGGCGGCCUUUCAAGUCAGGGGUGAAAACCUGCGGCUCAACCGCAGGCCUGCCUUUGAAACUGAUAGGCUGGAGUACCGGAGAGGUGGACGGAACUGCACGAGUAGAGGUGAAAUUCGUAGAUAUGUGCAGGAAUGCCGAUGAUGAAGAUAGUUCACUGGACGGUAACUGACGCUGAAGUGCGAAAGCCGGGGGAGCGAACAGG